rnacentral:rRNA from 1 species
CGGUUGAUCCUGCCGGACCCGACUGCUAUCAGAGUGGGACUAAGCCAUGCGAGUCAACGCAGCAAUGCGUGGCAUACGGCUCAGUAACACGUAGUCAACAUGCCCAGGGGACGUGGAUAACCUCGGGAAACUGAGGAUAAACCGCGAUAGGCCAAGGUUUCUGGAAUGGACACUGGCUGAAACCUAUAUGGCCCCUGGAUUGGACUGCGGCCGAUCAGGCUGUUGGUGAGGUAAUGGCCCACCAAACCUGUAACCGGUACGGGCUUUGAGAGAAGGAGCCCGGAGAUGGGCACUGAGACAAGGGCCCAGGCCCUAUGGGGCGCAGCAGGCGCGAAAAUUCUGCAAUAGGCGAAAGCUUGACAGAGUUACUCUGAGUGAUGCCCGCUAAGGGCAUCUUUUGGCACCUCUAAAAAUGGUGCAGAAUAAGGGGUGGGCAAGUCUGGUGUCAGCCGCCGCGGUAAUACCAGCACCCCGAGUGGUCGGGACGAUUAUUGGGCCUAAAGCAUCCGUAGCUUGUUCUGCAAGUCUUCCGUUAAAUCCACCUGCUCAACAGAUGGGCUGCGGGAGAUACUACAGGGCUAGGAGGCGGGAGAGGCAAGCGGUACUCAGUGGGUAGGGGUAAAAUCCUCUGAUCCACUGAAGACCACCAGUGGCGAAGGCGGCUUGCCAGAACGCGCUCGACGGUUAGGGAUGAAAGCUGGGGGAGCAAACCGGAUUAGAUACCCGGGUAGUCCCAGCUGUAAACGAUGCAUACUCGGUGAUGGGGUUUGCUUUGCGCCAACCCAGUGCCGCAGGGAAGCCGUUAAGUCUGCCGCCUGGGGAGUACGGUCGCAAGACUGAAACUUAAAGGAAUUGGCGGGGAGCACACAAGGGUGAAGCCUGCG